rnacentral:rRNA from 1 species
GAGUUUGAUCAUGGCUCAGGAUGAACGCUAGCGGCGUGCUUAACGCAUGCAAGUCGAACGAUAGGCCUUCGGGCUGAAAGUGGCGAACGGGUGAGUAACACGUUGGUGACCUACCUCAGAGAGGGGGACAACCACUGGAAACGGUGGCUAAUACCCCAGAUGUUUAUGUGUUUAGAAGGCAUAAACCAAAGCUCCGGUGCUCUGAGAGGGGCCAGCGUCCCAUCAGCUAGUUGGCGAGGUAAAGGCUCACCAAGGCGAAGACGGGUAGGGGGCGUGAGAGCGUGACCCCCCACACUGGUACUGAUACACGGACCAGAUACCUACGGGUAGCAGCAGCGAGGAAUAUUGCGCAAUGGGCGAAAGCCUGACGCAUCAACGCCGCGUGGAGGAUGAAGGCCUUCGGGUUGUAAACUCCUUUUUUGAGAGAAUAGAAAGGAAGGUAUCUCAAGAAUAAGCUCCGGCUAACUACGUGCCAG